AGUACCUAUAAUCCAGCAACCUUGAUGAAGAUAAACAGAUAAUAGUCUGGCCAGUGCUUGGAUGGGACACCUUCUGAGAAUCCUACAUGUACCUUUCCACCUUGAGAUCUAUAUUGGAAGAAAGGUAGUCUCUGUCUUCUGCCUUCUCUACAAGACGUAUUUCCAACAGGAUUGACACAAAGAGCCAGAGGAAGGGCAAACAGGACCCCCCUCCAGUCCUUUCCACCUAGAGAAAGGACCUGACCUAGAGAAAUGCCUGAAGCCCCUUCUCUCUCCACUUAGUUCUCUGGAGGCAAAGGGAGCAACAGAACACCGUGAAGGAAAGGGACAGUGCCAAGUCCUCCUUCUCUAACAAGUCAAGUCAGGCACCUCCAAGCAAAAUCCUGUUACGCAUAAUGUCUACUUUGGCCCCUGAGUCAAGUUUCAACCAUGGUUUAGAAUCCUGGCUUGUGGGAGAAGGGGGCAUUAACGCCGAUCAACCACGGUUCCUGCAUUCGUACUGAACGUUGCUUUAAAACAAGAUGCUUUCCUUACACUCCAUGUGAGAAGGAAAAUGGGAAGUUGGACAACUGAGCUGUACAAACCAGCCUGGCAAGAAGCCAGUUUUAUGCUCACUUUCAACAUAACGGCAGCUUUCCUUGUAAUCUGAAUGCAACUUUGUUUAGCCUUCCAUGACACUAACCUGAGUGUUGUUCUUUUUAUUAGGCAUUCAUCUUUCCCCAGUAAACA